rnacentral:rRNA from 1 species
GAUGAACGCUGGCGGCGUGCCUAAUACAUGCAAGUCGAGCGAACGGACGAGAAGCUUGCUUUUCUGAUGUUAGCGGCGGACGGGUGAGUAACACGUGGAUAACCUACCUAUAAGACUGGGAUAACUUCGGGAAACCGGAGCUAAUACCGGAUAAUAUUUUGAACCGCAUGGUUCAAAAGUGAAAGACGGUCUUGCUGUCACUUAUAGAUGGAUCCGCGCUGCAUUAGCUAGUUGGUAAGGUAACGGCUUACCAAGGCAACGAUGCAUAGCCGACCUGAGAGGGUGAUCGGCCACACUGGAGCUGAGACACGGUCCAGACUCCUACGGGAGGCAGCAGUAGGGAAUCUUCCGCAAUGGGCGAAAGCCUGACGGAGCAACGCCGCGUGAGUGAUGAAGGUCUUCGGAUCGUAAAACUCUGUUAUUAGGGAAGAACAUAUGUGUAAGUAACUGUGCGCAUCUUGACGGUACCUAAUCAGAAAGCCACGGCUAACUACGUG